rnacentral:rRNA from 1 species
GAUGAACGCUAGCGACAGGCUUAACACAUGCAAGUCGAGGGGCAGCGGGGGAGUAGCAAUACUCCCGCCGGCGACCGGCGCACGGGUGAGUAACACGUAUGAAACCUGCCCGUAGCAGGGGGAUAAGCGGAAGAAAUUCCGUCUAAUACCGCGUAACAACCCAUGGAGGCAUCUCCGUGGGUUUAAAGGAAGCGAUUCCGGCUACGGAUGGUCAUGCGUCGCAUUAGCUAGUUGGCGGGGUAACGGCCCACCAAGGCGACGAUGCGUAGGGGUUCUGAGAGGAAGGUCCCCCACAUUGGAACUGAGACACGGUCCAA